rnacentral:rRNA from 1 species
AUUGAACGCUGGCGGCAGGCCUAACACAUGCAAGUCGAGCGAGCGGCGGACGGGUGAGUAAUGUAUGGGGACUGCCCGAUAGAGGGGGAUAACUACUGGAAACGGUGGCUAAUACCGCAUACUGUCGGAUAACCCAUAUGGGAUUAGCUAGUGGGUAAGGUAAUGGCUUACCUAGGCGACGAUCCCUAGCUGGUCUGAGAGGCUGAUCAGCCACGUGGGGAAGGAGACACGGCCCAGACGCCUACGGAGGCAGCCGAGGGGAAUAUUGGACAAUGGGGGGAGGCCUGAUGCAGCCAUGCCGCGUGUAUGAAGAAGGCCCUAGGGGUGUAAAGUGCUGUCAGUCGGGAUGCGUUACCGACAGAAUAAGCACCGGCUAACUCCGUGCCAGCAGCCGCGGUAAUAC